GAUCAUGGCUCAGGAUGAACGCUGGCGGCGUGCUUAACACAUGCAAGUCGAACGGAGUUUAGAUGAAGGCUUGCUUUGACUAAACUUAGUGGCGGACGGGUGAGUAACGCGUGGGUAACCUGCCUUAUACCGGGGGACAACAGCUGGAAACGGCUGCUAAUACCGCAUAAGCGCACAGAUAGGCAUCUAUCAGUGUGAAAAACUCCGGUGGUAUAAGAUGGACCCGCGUCUGAUUAGCCAGUUGGCGGUGUAACGGACCACCAAAGCGACGAUCAGUAGCCGGCCUGAGAGGGCAAACGGCCACAUUGGGACUGAGACACGGCCCAAACUCCUACGGGAGGCAGCAGUGGGGAAUAUUGCACAAUGGAGGAAACUCUGAUGCAGCCGACGCCGCGUGAGUGAAGAAGUAUCUCGGUAUGUAAAGCUCUAUCAGCAGGAAAGAAAAUGACGGUACCUGACUAAGAAGCCCCGGCUAACUACGUGCCAGCCGCAGC
rnacentral:rRNA from 1 species